rnacentral:rRNA from 1 species
UACGUAGGGGGCAAGCGUUGUCCGGAAUUAUUGGGCGUAAAGAGCUCGUAGGCGGCUUGUCGCGUCGGAUGUGAAAGCCCGGGGCUUAACUCCGGGUCUGCGUUCGAUACGGGCAGGCUAGAGUUCGGUAGGGGAGAUCGGAAUUCCUGGUGUAGCGGUGAAAUGCGCAGAUAUCAGGAGGAACACCGGUGGCGAAGGCGGGUCUCUGGGCCGUAACUGACGCUGAGGAGCGAAAGCGUGGGGAGCGAACAGG